AAAAUUACCUGGCAGGGGAGAUACCACGAUCAUGAAGGUGGUUUUCCCAGGGCGAGGCUCAUCCAUUGCACUCCGGAUGUGCUGACCCCUGCAAUUUCCCUAGGUGUGGGAAACUAGACUGCAUAGUUUGUGGUAGUGGGGACUGCACUUGCGCUUUCCUCU